UACAGAGGGGGCCAGCGUUGUUCGGAAUUACUGGGCGUAAAGGGCGCGUAGGCGGCCUGCUAAGUCGAACGUGAAAUCCCUGGGCUCAACCCAGGAACUGCGUCCGAUACUGGUUGGCUUGAAUCCGGGAGAGGGACGUGGAAUUCCAGGUGUAGCGGUGAAAUGCGUAGAUAUCUGGAGGAACACCGGUGGCGAAGGCGACGUCCUGGACCGGCAUUGACGCUGAGGCGCGAAAGCCAGGGGAGCAAACGGG
rnacentral:rRNA from 1 species